AGAGUUUGAUCCUGGCUCAGAUUGAACGCUGGCGGCAGGCCUAACACAUGCAAGUCGAGCGGAUGACGGGAGCUUGCUCCUGGAUUCAGCGGCGGACGGGUGAGUAAUGCCUAGGAAUCUGCCUGGUAGUGGGGGACAACGUUUCGAAAGGAACGCUAAUACCGCAUACGUCCUACGGGAGAAAGCAGGGGACCUUCGGGCCUUGCGCUAUCAGAUGAGCCUAGGUCGGAUUAGCUUGUUGGUGAGGUAAUGGCUCACCAAGGCGACGAUCCGUAACUGGUCUGAGAGGAUGAUCAGUCACACUGGAACUGAGACACGGUCCAGACUCCUACGGGAGGCAGC
rnacentral:rRNA from 1 species